rnacentral:rRNA from 1 species
UGGGGAAUAUUGCACAAUGGGCGCAAGCCUGAUGCAGCCAUGCCGCGUGUAUGAAGAAGGCCUUCGGGUUGUAAAGUACUUUCAGCGGGGAGGAAGGGAGUAAAGUUAAUACCUUUGCUCAUUGACGUUACCCGCAGAAGAAGCACCGGCUAACUCCGUGCCAGCAGCCGCGGUAAUACGGAGGGUGCAAGCGUUAAUCGGAAUUACUGGGCGUAAAGCGCACGCAGGCGGUUUGUUAAGUCAGAUGUGAAAUCCCCGGGCUCAACCUGGGAACUGCAUCUGAUACUGGCAAGCUUGAGUCUCGUAGAGGGGGGUAGAAUUCCAGGUGUAGCGGUGAAAUGCGUAGAGAUCUGGAGGAAUACCGGUGGCGAAGGCGGCCACCUGGACGAAGACUGACGCUCAGGUGCGAAAGAGUGGGGAGCAAACAGG